rnacentral:rRNA from 1 species
UACAGAGGGUGCGAGCGUUGUCCGGAAUCACUGGGCGUAAAGGGCGCGUAGGUGGUGGCUUAAGCGUGCGGUGAAAGCUCGGAGCUCAACUCCGAGUCGGCCGUGCGAACUGGGCUCACUGGAGCAUAGUAGAGGCAGGUGGAAUUCCGGGUGUAGCGGUGGAAUGCGUAGAGAUCCGGAGGAACACCCAUGGCGAAGGCAGCUCUCUGGCUUCACCCUGACGCUGAGGCGCGAAAGCGUGGGGAGCGAACGGG